GACGAACCGAGCGAACGUUGUUCGGAAUCACUGGGCUUAAAGGGCGCGUAGGCGGGUGCUCAAGUCUGUGGUGAAAUCCUCCGGCUCAACCGGAGAACUGCCAUGGAUACUGGGUGCCUCGAGGGUGGUAGGGGUAUGCGGAACUAUCGGUGGAGCGGUGAAAUGCGCAGAUAUCAGGAGGAACACCAAUUGCGAAGGCAGCUCGCUGGGACGUCACUGACGCUGAGACGCGAAAGCGUGGGGAGCAAACAGG
rnacentral:rRNA from 1 species